UGAGUCCAGCUUAAAAGAAAAUAUAGAACCACAUUUGUGGUUUCUACUGUAAUGGUAGUAAUUGUAUUCCCAUAUAACCCCACAAUGCUGAUCUAAUAUGAAGCUUUUAAUCAAUGAAACUGUCCAUUACUACUUUGAUGAUGUUCAAAAUCUGGGUUUUAAUCUUUUAGUUAUAAAUAUAACAACUAUGGGUCUUUUUCUUAUCUUCUUCCAUUUCAGCGGACGUGUGGUGCUUGAUUAUUGGAGGGUAGUGGAAGUCCUAUACACAAUUCCAACUACUCUUCUUAAUAAUCCAGCAGAAAAUUCAAAUCAUAGCAUUUAGAAUAGUUCACAAUCAUCAUAUCUCACUAUCAGAGAUUUCUCUCAAACAAACAUCUCUGUAGCAGCAUUUUUCAGUUCCCUUUAGAAGUUGUUGGGUCUUUUUCGUGGGUUUUUCUGAUGAACUCGGUACUUCAAAUCGUCUUCAUUUUGCCUAUAUCUCCUCACCUACUUGGAACUGCCACUGGCAUCCAAAAUUCUUGUUGCAGGGACAGCUCGAUCAAAAGAUUGUACAGAAAAGGAAGAGACUUAGCUUGGGUUGGAACCAGAACAGCUAAAGGAGGAGGCUUUAUUGUCUGUGACGGCCAAAGCUUAUGACGUUCUUUUUCUCCAACCAUGCUGCAAAGGUUUAGCUAAGUUUAAUUAAAAAUUCGUAUGUCUACUCUUUCAUCAUGCUAAAAGAGAGCGGUAUCAGACUUCAUUUAACGUCAGAAAAAGACAAUGGUGCAAGGCAAAUGAACCAUGUGCAAGAUUUGCUCACUCUUCUUCUAUACGGACAAAGGCAAGGCCAAAACCGGUUGGAGAGGUGUGGCAGUGGCAGCUUCCUUAUGAAAGGAGGACUCCUCUUUCACACCUUCACCGGCAAGGGGAAUCUUUUCUUCAUUUUGUUGUUGGGACCAGAUAACUACAACUGAUGCCUCAGUGUUUGGUGGCAUAUGUUUUUUAUGAUAGAUACGGAUAUUGCUAUCCAUUUCUUGUUCUAUUUUGCGUUCGUUUUUAAACCCUUUACCUUUUUAUCUGAAAUAUUAUUUUACUUUUGCGUA